ACCAACACAUUUUUGAAACCCGAUUUGCACCUUUUCGCUGGGGUGUUGCUGCUGUGCCCAGUGUUGUUAUUAUUGUUAUUUUCUAUUUAAUCCAGGCAGAUCUGCUUACGGAGGAACCCUCGGGGUUAGCACUAGCCUUGGUUUCCCCAUGAGCGGCGGUGACUCUGGUGGCGUGGCGUUGGCUUGUUGACGGUGCCGUCGGGCUGGUGGCGGGUUCUCCACCAUGUUCACCAAGAAGUCCUAUGAUGGCCCCCCCAUGGGCUACGGCCCCCCCACAGCCUACGGUCCCCCCA
rnacentral:lncRNA from 1 species